rnacentral:rRNA from 1 species
UACGGGGGGGGGCAAGCGUUGUUCGGAAUUACUGGGCGUAAAGGGCUCGUAGGCGGCCAACUAAGUCAGACGUGAAAUACCCUCCGGCUUAACCGGGGAACUGCGUCUGAUACUGGAUGGCUGGAGUUUGGGAGAGGGAUGCGGAAUUCCAGGUGUAGCGGUGAAAUGCGUAGAUAUCUGGAGGAACACCGGUGGCGAAGGCGGCAUCCUGGACCAACACUGACGCUGAGGCGCGAAAGCUAGGGGAGCAAACGGG